rnacentral:lncRNA from 1 species
AUUUUUAAUCCCGGCAAAGUCUUUUGCCUUUUCGUAAUUAUUUUUCAACAAAGUGAAUGGGCGCUCCGCUCCGCUCAUAGAAAGUUGAGAUAGAUUGUGUGAAAUCAGCGCCAACCAAUUUCAAAUCAAUCACCAGCAAAAAAAAAAAAAACAGAAAAACUCAGCCAGCAAAAGGCAACGAAUCGGAGGACCUAAUCGAGCG